rnacentral:rRNA from 1 species
CAUUUAUUAGAUAAAAAGCCAAUGCAUGCUUUURCAGUAUGGAAAUUGGUGAUUUAUAAUAACUUGGCAAAUCGCAAAGUGAAAACAGGCGAUAAAUCAUUCAAGUUUCUGACCUAUCAGCUUUCGACGGUAUGGUAUUGGCUUACCGUGGCAGUGACGGUUAACGGGGGAUUAGGGUUCGAUUCCGGAGAGGGAGCCUGAGAAACGGCUACCACAUCUAAGGAAGGCAGCAGGCGCGCAAAUUACCCAAUUCUAACAGUUUGAGAGAGGUAGUAACAAGAAAUAACAAUACAAGGCAAUUAAAAUGCUUUGUAAUUGGAAUGAUAGAAAUUUAAACCCUUUUUAAAGUAUCAAUUGGAGGGCAAGUCUGGUGCCAGCAGCCGCGGUAAUUCCAGCUCCAAUAGCGUAUAUUAAAAUUGUUGCAGUUAAAAAGCUCGUAGUUGAAGUUCUGCUAAAAGUAACCGGUCUGCUUUUAAUAAAAGUGGUAUCUUGGUGUGUAUUUAGCAAUGAUGUCCUUUGAAGUGUUUUUUACUUUAUUGUAAUAAAGCAUAUUCAGGACUUUUACUUUGAGAAAAUU